rnacentral:rRNA from 1 species
UAACGCUGGCGGCGUGCCUAACAAUGCAAGUCGCACGUCCUCUCUCUUUUCGGAGAGGGAGGGAGUGGCGCACGGGUGAGUAACACAUGGGUACCUGCCUUCCAGUGAGGAAUACCUCCGGGAAACCGGGGACAAGACCGCAUAGGCUUACCCUUUGGGUAAGCAAAGCUCUCUCUUAGCGGGAGGGUGCUGGAAGAGGGGCCUGUGGCCGAUUAGCUGGUUGGUGGGGUAAGCGCUCACCAAGGCGACGAUCGGUAGCUGGUCUGAGAGGACGAGCAGCCACACUGGGAUUGAGAACGGCCCAGACUCCUACGGGGGGCAGCAGUGAGGAAUUUUCGGCAAUGGGCGCAAGCCUGACCGAGCAACGCCGCGUGCCGGAAGACGGCCUUCGGGUUGUAAACGGCUUUUCUGGAGGAAGAGAGAAGGACGGUACUCCAGGAAGCAGCCCCGGCUAACUACGUGCCAGCAGCCGCGGUAAGACGUANGGGGCAAGCGUUGUCCGGAGUUACUGGGCGUAAAGGGCACGCAGGCGGCUGCGCGCGUUUCCGGUGCCAGCCUCACGCUUCACG